rnacentral:rRNA from 3 species
CCUGGCGGCCGUAGCGCGGUGGUCCCACCUGACCCCAUGCCGAACUCAGAAGUGAAACGCCGUAGCGCCGAUGGUAGUGUGGGGUCUCCCCAUGCGAGAGUAGGGAACUG